GUUGAGUUGAGUUGAGUUUAGAAAACCAAAAACCUUAAAAGCUUUAACUGUCUUGAGAAACACAUGGGCUUGGAUCUCUGAUGCAUUUUGAACUAUGGAACACAUGCCUGCGCUCAUGUUCAAAUUGCUGUGUAAGAGUUGUAUGGUGGGUUCCCAUCAUCUAUUUGUUUUCAAGACUGUUUUUUGAGAACCUUUCAGUAAUUAUUUAUUCAUUAUUUCAUUCAUGAUCUUCCCCUUUUUUCUGUUCCUCUA
rnacentral:misc_RNA from 1 species